rnacentral:rRNA from 1 species
AGACCCGAAACCCGGUGAUCUAGCCAUGGGCAGGUUGAAGGUUGGGUAACACUAACUGGAGGACCGAACCGACUAAUGUUGAAAAAUUAGCGGAUGACCUGUGGCUGGGGGUGAAAGGCCAAUCAAACCGGGAGAUAGCUGGUUCUCCCCGAAAGCUAUUUAGGUAGCGCCUCGUGAAUUCAUCUCCGGGGGUAGAGCACUGUUUCGGCUAGGGGGCCAUCCCGGCUUACCAACCCGAUGCAAACUGCGAAUACCGGAGAAUGUUAUCACGGGAGACACACGGCGGGUGCUAACGUCCGUCGUGAAGAGGGAAACAACCCAGACCGCCAGCUAAGGUCCCAAAGUCAUGGUUAAGUGGGAAACGAUGUGGGAAGGCCCAGACAGCCAGGAUGUUGGCUUAGAAGCAGCCAUCAUUUAAAGAAAGCGUAAUAGCUCACUGGUCGAGUCGGCCUGCGCGGAAGAUGUAACGGGGCUAAACCAUGCACCGAAGCUGCGGCAGCGAACGUAUCACUUAAAGCGAUUCAGCGGGUUACGAUUGACGGAGCGAAGCGACGUCAAAGCGUAUACAAAGUCGAGUCGGUUUAAGGAUACGUUCGUUGGGUAGGGGAGCGUUCUGUAAGCCUGUGAAGGUGUGUCGUGAGGCAUGCUGGAGGUAUCAGAAGU